rnacentral:rRNA from 1 species
GUUCGAUCAUGGCUCAGAUUGAACGCUGGCGGGAUGCUUUACACAUGCAGGUCGAACGGCAGCACGGACUUCGGUCUGGUGGCGAGUGGCGAACAGGUGAGUAAUGUAUCGGAACGUACCUAAUGCUGAGGAUAACUACGCGAAAGCGUAGCUAAUACCGCAUACGCCCUCGAGAAGCAGGGGGACCUUCGGGCCUCGCACUAUUGAAACGGCCGAUAUCGGAUUAGCUAGUUGGUGGGGUAACGGCUCACCAAGGCGACGAUCGUAAGCUGGCGUUUAGAGAGGACGACCAGCCACACUGGGACUGAGACACGGCCCGAACUCCUGGGAGGCAGCAGUGAAAUUUUGGACAAUGGGGGGAAACCCUGAUCAGCCAUCCCGCGUGUGCGAUGAAGGCCUUCCCGGGUUGUAAAGCACUUUUGGCAGGAAAGAAACGGCACAGGAUAAUACCCCGAUGCAACUGACGGUACCUGCAGAAUAAGCACCGGCUAACUACGUGCCCAGCAGCCGCGGUAAUACGUAAGUGCAAGCGUUAAUCGGAAUUACUGGGCGUAAAGCGUGCGCAGGCAGUUUCGGAAAGAAAGAUGUGAAAUCCAGAGCUUAACCUGGAACUGCAUUUUUAACUACCGAGCUAGAUUGUGUCAGAGGGAGAGUGGAAUUCCGCGUGUAGCAGUGAAAUGCGUAGAUAUGCGGAGGAACACCGAUGGCGAAGGCAACCUCCUGGGAUAACACUGACGCUCAUGCACGAAAGCAGUAAGAGCAAACAGGAUUAGACACCCUGGUAGUCCACGCCCUAAACGAUGUCAACUAGCUGUUGGGGCCUUCGGGCCUUGGUAGCCUCCGGCUAACAUGAAGUUGACCUGGGAAGUACAGUCGCAAGAUUAAAACCUCGAAGAAAUUGACAAGGGACCACACAAGCGGUGGAUGAUGGUUAAUUCGAUGCAACGCGAAAAACCUUACCUACCCUUGACAUGUCUGGAAUCCCGAAGGGGUUGGGAGUGCUCGCAAGAGAACCGGAACACAGGUGCUGCAUGGCUGUCGUCAGCUCGUGUCGUGAGAUGUUGGGUUAAGUCCCGCAACGAGGCACUAGCCCUUGUCAUUAGUUGCUACGAAAGGGCACUCUAAUGAGACUGCCGGUGACAAACCGGAGGAAGAUUGGGGAUGACGUCAAGUCCUCAUGGCCCAUAUGGGUAGGGCUUCACGUCCAUGCAAUGGUCGGGACAGAGGGUCGCCAACCCGCGAGGGGAGCCAAUCCAGAAACCCGAUCGUAGUCGGAUCGCAGUCUGCAACUCGACUGCGUGAAGUCAGGAAUCGCUGGUAAUCGCGGAUCAGCAUGUCGCGGUGAAUACGUUCCGGGUCUUGUACACACCGUCCGUCACCAUGGGAGUGGGUUUUACAGAAGUAGUUGGCCUAACCGUAAGGCGAUUACCAUUGAAGUUCAUGACUGGGUGAAGUCAUAGCUAAGGUAA